rnacentral:rRNA from 1 species
ACACGGUCCAGACUCCUACGGGAGGCAGCAGUGGGGAAUAUUGGACAAUGGGCGAAAGCCUGAUCCAGCCAUGCCGCGUGUGUGAAGAAGGUCUUCGGAUUGUAAAGCACUUUAAGUUGGGAGGAAGGGCAGUUACCUAAUACGUGAUUGUUUUGACGUUACCGACAGAAUAAGCACCGGCUAACUCUGUGCCAGCAGCCGCGGUAAUACAGAGGGUGCAAGCGUUAAUCGGAAUUACUGGGCGUAAAGCGCGCGUAGGUGGUUUGUUAAGUUGGAUGUGAAAUCCCCGGGCUCAACCUGGGAACUGCAUUCAAAACUGACUGACUAGAGUAUGGUAGAGGGUGGUGGAAUUUCCUGUGUAGCGGUGAAAUGCGUAGAUAUAGGAAGGAACACCAGUGGCGAAGGCGACCACCUGGACUAAUACUGACACUGAGGUGCGAAAGCGUGGG